rnacentral:tRNA from 1 species
GCGGAUGUGGCGGAAUGGCAGACGCGCUAGCUUCAGGUGCUAGUGGUGGCAACACCGUGGGGGUUCGAGUCCCUUCAUCCGCACCA